CCUACGGGUGGCUGCAGUUUCGAAUCAUUCACAAUGGGCGAAAGCCUGAUGGUGCGACGCCGCGUGAGGGAUGAAGGCCUUCGGGUUGUAAACCUCUGUCACUGGGGAAGAAACGCUUAAAGUUAAUAGCUUGAAGCCUGACUUAACCCAGAGAGGAAGCAGUGGCUAACUCUGUGCCAGCAGCCGCGGUAAUACAGAGACUGUAAGCGUUAUUCGUGCGCACGGGGCGGUGUGUGUGCGCUGUGAGAGGCCGGGGCUUAACCUCGGAAUUGCGCCUAAAACUACACGGCUAGAGCAUUGGAGAGGGUAGCGGAAUUCACGGUGUAGCAGUGAAAUGCGUAGAUAUCGUGAGGAACACCAGAGGCGAAGGCGGCUACCUGGACAAUUGCUGACGCUCAGGCACGAAAGCGUGGGGAGCAAAAGGGAUUAGAUACCCCAGUAGUC
rnacentral:rRNA from 1 species